rnacentral:rRNA from 1 species
AUUGAACGCUGGCGGCAUGCCUUACACAUGCAAGUCGAACGGCAGCACGGGAGCAAUCCUGGUGGCGAGUGGCGAACGGGUGAGUAAUAUAUCGGAACGUGCCCGGUCGUGGGGGAUAACGUAGCGAAAGCUACGCUAAUACCGCAUACGAUCUACGGAUGAAAGCGGGGGAGUCGCAAGACCUCGCGCGAUUGGAGCGGCCGAUAUCAGAUUAGGUAGUGGUGAGGUAAAGGCUCACCAAGCCGACGAUCUGUAGCUGGUCUGAGAGGACGACCAGCCACACUGGGACUGAGACACGGCCCAGACUCCUACGGGAGGCAGCAGUGGGAAUUUGGACAAUGGCGCAAGCCUGAUCCAGCAAUGCCGCGUGCAGGAUGAAGGCC